rnacentral:lncRNA from 1 species
AGUUAGAAUUAACUUAUGAAAUAAGUAAUCUCAACAAAAAAAGAAAUUGGGUCCAACCAUGUGCUAGUAACGUUACCAUGAACUCAAUGAAUUUCUCUAAACCAAUUGAUACUUCAUAAGCUUAAUUAUUUAUUUUCAGACCUAAUCUUUUUGUUGUAUGACUCUAUAGGUUUAAUUCUAUCUGAUAGUAAGACAUACAAUGAUCUCUAUUAAAAUAUCAUUGAAACUCAUUUCAAUAGAUCGGAAUAAUUUCACUCUAGCCCAGUAAGGAUUGUCGAUCCAGAACAAUCUCAGUGAGCUCUUACAAUCUACCAGUGACACCUAGCAGUAUGUAGUGGCAAUCUAGUAGAACUAAAAUGAACCUCUAGGUGUAGUUAACGUGUGAUUCAGUUCUUCUAUCAUGAGUCCAUCUAGAUAAAUCAUCAAACCUCAAUAUUAGUCAUAUGAUAGAUUCGAUUAGCUCAAGUCCAGUUGUGACUUCUAUGAAAACUCUUUUUCAUCAAUCAUACUGCUGUGGCCACAGACUCUUGGACUUAACC